rnacentral:lncRNA from 1 species
AUGCUUUUUAAAGCCCAGGUCCAGCCCAGCCCAUUGAGGGCUGGAAACGUCCGAUCGAACCGGAUCACUUUCACUUUCCUCCAAGUCCCGUCUUCCUUCCCGCGGCCACACUCCCGCCGCCCCGCCGUCCGCUGGAGUACGCUGUACGCCGACGAGCCCGCGGCAGAAGGCACAGCUCUUAAUGUACUGAUUGUUAUGCAUCCAAGAAGGACAUGCAGUUGGUCUCACAUUGUAAUUCCGGUGGCAUUGGAAACUGAUGUUCACCAUGGGGAUGAUAGUAAAGACAGAGUUGGAUCAACUACAGUUAAGUGUGAUCCAUGCAUUCCUCCGCUGCUUCUUAGCUUCCCUCAGGACCAAUGAUGGGAGAUCA